rnacentral:rRNA from 1 species
GACGAACGCUGGCGGCGUGCUUAACACAUGCAAGUCGAGCGGGGAUCAUGGAAGUGCUUGCACAGAAGUGAUUCUAGCGGCGGACGGGUGAGUAACGCGUGAGCAAUCUGUCCCACACAGGGGGAUAACACUUGGAAACAGGUGCUAAUACCGCAUAAGACCACGAGGUCGCAUGGCCAUGGGGUAAAAGAUUUAUCGGUGUGGGGUGAGCUCGCGUCCCAUUAGCUAGUUGGUGAGGUAACGGCCCACCAAGGCGACGAUGGGUAGCCGACCUGAGAGGGUGAUCGGCCACAUUGGAACUGAGACACGGUCCAGACUCCUACGGGAGGCAGCAGUGGGGAAUAUUGGGCAAUGGGCGCAAGCCUGACCCAGCAACGCCGCGUGAAGGAAGAAGGUUUUCGGAUUGUAAACUUCUGUCCUUGGUGACGAAGGAAGUGACGGUAGCCAAGGAGGAAGCCCCGGCUAACUACGUG